rnacentral:siRNA from 1 species
UCCAUUGUCCUGCUUCUUUCGUC